rnacentral:lncRNA from 1 species
GUGGGCAUCCUUGUGGGGAUGUUUAGAGCGGGCUGGAUGCUUUGCUUGGAGUUCAGGAGGUCUGGCGGGAAAGGGGAGGUGAGGGGACGUCAGCUCCAAGGUGGGAUCUGGAUCCUCGACAAGCCCCGUCCCUCGAGCAUCCCUGGGAGAGUUGGUCCAGUCCAGGCUACAGAUCCCACCUUGGAGCUGACGUCCCCUCACCUCCCCUUUCCCGCCAGACCUCCUGAACUCCAAGCAAAGCAUCCAGCCCGCUCUAAACAUCCCCACAAGGAUACCCACGGCUCCCAUUGCAGUUGCCUUUCUCCCUGCAGGCGGAAUUGAUCUCCUUCCUCUCAAAUGUACCCUGGUUCCUGUGUUCUGUAUUCUCAUCACUGCUCCCAGUGAGACCCUGGGAGACCUCACUGACCCUCUGUACCCUUCACUUCUGUUCCCCACACCACCUGGGGCCUUGCUCAGAUGCAUGCCCGCAGUCCACCUCCUCGCUCUGCUGCUGCUGCCCCUUUCCUACCUCGAGACUUGGAAGUAUUGGGAUGAGAUCUCUGACUGAAAUAUCCUGAGUGGCCUCUGCUUUCCCUGUCCCUCAUUCCUCCUCGAUUUUGCUCCCAGAACUUUCCACCAAAUGCAAAUGGCGUCAUCUUGUCCCUGUGCAUGUGUGCUUAAGUGUGUGUGUGCAUGUAUGUGUAUCUGCAUAUGUGUCUAUCUGUCUAUGUGUGCAUUCGUGUAUGCAUUUGUACACAAAUUUACAUGUUCAUUUGUGCACAUGUAUAUCCGUAUGUAGACAUGUACACACGUGUGCACAUGCACGUGUGUGUAUAUGUCUCUCUGUGUGCAUAAUAGUCUCUGUGUAUCUGUCUGAGUGUGUGCAUGUGCACAAUUGCGUAUGUGUCUCUCUGUGUUUAUAUUGUGUAGCAAGUGUGUCUGUAGUGUGUCUGUGUGUGUGUGUGCCUGGGUAUGGUAAGGGGAAGGCUCCACAACAUUCCCACUGCUACCCGGUACAGUUCUUGCUGAAAAGGGUGGAGGGACCUAUGGUGAAUGGAAACCUGUCCAAGGCCUCACUGAGGUCCCCCCUCCACUAGAGGGCAGGAAGAUGCUCUGCUGUGCCUGGGAGAUGUCACCAAGGACACAAGAGAAAACUCUGGCCCAGGUCCAUGUGG